rnacentral:rRNA from 1 species
UUGCCAGCCCGCUCAGAAACUCAAAGGAAUUGACGGGGCCCGCACAAGCGGAGGAGCAUGUGGUUAAUUCGAUGAUACGCGAGGAACCCUACCUGGGCUCGAACGUAAGAUGACUGUAGGUGAAAGCUUACAUCUCUUCGGAGCAUUUUACGAGGUGCUGCAUGGUUGUCGUCAGCUCGUGCCGUGAGGUGUCGGGUUAAGUCCCAUAACGAGCGCAACCCCUACCUUUAGUUGCCAUCAGGUAAUGCUGGGGACUCUAAAGGAACUGCCUACGCAAGUAGUGAGGAAGGCGGGGAUGACGUCAAAUCAGCACGGCCCUUACGUCCAGGGCUACACACGUGCUACAAUGGCCGAUACAGAGGGCAGCUACCUGGUGACAGGAUGCAAAUCUCCAAAGUCGGUCUCAGUUCGGAUCGGAGUCUGCAACCCGACUCCGUGAAGUUGGAUUCGCUAGUAAUCGCGCAUCAGCCAUGGCGCGGUGAAUACGUUCCCGGGCCUU